rnacentral:hammerhead_ribozyme from 13 species
GAGGUGUCUGGGGUUGGAGUCGUCUACCGUCAGCCCCACUGACGAGUCUUGGCAGAUAAUUCCUUAGACGAAACGCCAU